rnacentral:rRNA from 1 species
UACGUAGGGUGCGAGCGUUAAUCGGAAUUACUGGGCGUAAAGCGUGCGCAGGCGGCGCCGCAAGUCAGGCGUGAAAUCCCCGAGCUUAACUUGGGAAUGGCGCUUGAAACUACGGUGCUGGAGUGUGGCAGAGGGAGGUGGAAUUCCACGUGUAGCGGUGAAAUGCGUAGAUAUCGGAAGGAACAUCAGUGGCGAAAGCGACUUCCUGGACCAGUACCGACGUUCAGGCACGAAAGCGUGGGGAGCAAACAGG